UGCUGUAAGGGAGAUUUGACAGUGAAAUCUGUUACUCCAUUGAUUUACCAGAGUUGAUUUAGUUGAUCAUGAUUAGAUGAAUAUGAUCUUCCUCCUAUCUCCUCUUUCUUCCCCAUGUGCAUCUCCAACAAAGUGGGUCUGUCUUUAGGUUAAGUGGCUAUGUUUCCUAAUGGUAUUGGCAUUAGCACUAUAGGACUUGAUUCACCACUAACAAAUGUGAUAUGAGCAUGUCUGUAUAG
rnacentral:snRNA from 1 species